UACGGAGGGCGCGAGCGUUAGUCGGAAUUACUGGGCGUAAAGCGCGCGUAGGCUGUUGUGUAAGUUGGGGGUGAAAUCCCACGGCUCAACCGUGGAACAGCCCUUGAUACUGCGCGACUUGAAUCCGGGAGAGGGUGGCGGAAUUCCAGGUGUAGGAGUGAAAUCCGUAGAUAUCUGGAGGAACAUCAGUGGCGAAGGCGGCCACCUGGACCGGUAUUGUCGCUGAGGCGCGAAAGCGUGGGGAGCAAACAGG
rnacentral:rRNA from 1 species